rnacentral:lncRNA from 1 species
CGGUUAUCUCGAUCCUCCUUUGGUUUAAUCAUACGCUUUUAAGUGAUCUUUCUCAUGACUGAAUAAGCCAGUUAUAGUGGAAGAGGACGCCUACGAUCACCAACUCCACUUAGGUUUUAGCCUUACGAUUUAGAGGAACCUGACUCUAGCCAACUAUUAUUUUUGUGGGACCGUUUUACACUAGAUCAUCGUUUCUUAAUGGAGAAUGCCAUGCCAAUUUGUUUCUUGGGCUCGACAACCUCUGACAUAGUAAGUUAACGAAUGGAUUGUGCAACCUUCCUAAAACGUACAAAGCGGUCG